CACACUCAAAAAAUGUUUCUGGGUCCUGGUAAAUAUUAAGAAAUAUGUAUACAUACAUUUAAGGAAUAUUAUUAUAAAAUGGAAAAAUGAUUCAUUGAAAUCAUAUAAACACCAUUUGAACUGUCCGCGUAUGAACUUUUAAACAAAUAAUCUAGGCCUAAACAAAUAAUGUAUGCACUUGAAAAAAGCUCAUAAUAUUAACUGACAUGCACAUCACACUCCAGAACAGUAGGUGGCAGUAAGAAAUGAAUCGCCUAUUGUCGAAACACAUUUUCAUUGACGGUAUUUAUCUUCUUCCUGCUGGCACCAAGUUGUUACCUUAUUGGUACAGAAAUAUUUUACAUAAAUCAAAACUAUAUAUGUGAAAUUCAUGCUGUAAUUCAGGUGGGAUAACAAACAAAAACAAAAAACACCAAAGAGUAAAACCGGAAAUGGAAUUACGUCACUUCCUGUUCGUCAGUUGGUCUCCUGCUUUGAAAUUGAGGCAAUCGUUUUCAGCCGGAUGGUUGCCCCCUGUGCGAGUGGAAGAUGUGACUUUGAAGACAGUCAUUGUAAAAGGUGCAAAAGGCUUGUCUAAGAUACGCUGGCAGUCUACACCGCAUGGCCUGCGUUGCUGACAUUGAGUGAAAGUUCCUGUGCCUGACAUAUACUUGAGGAAGCAUCUUGGAGGUUGUCAAGGAGAAUGGAGGCAUUGCCAGAAGGAAGGACUAGAGUGGCGAAGUGAUCCAAAGGCAGACUGCACAUCUACGUAUAUGGUUUGCAAGGAACAUCCCGUGCCAGAGACUGUGAUACAAGGCAUGGAGCUGUACAGUGAACUCGGAGCAUCUCUUGUGCAUGUGUGAUGCUCUUUGGACUCGGUUACCGGUAUAUACCCUCAAUCUCAACUCUGUGGAUUUGGAUUUACAAUUUUA